rfam:Amborella trichopoda AMTR_V1.0_contig_29562, whole genome shotgun sequence.
UGGAGAAGGGGAGCACGUGCAAAGAGGACAGCACGUGUGUUUGCACGUGCCCUGCUUCUCCAAC